rnacentral:sRNA from 1 species
AUGCGAUAAGUAAUGUGAAUUGCAGAAUUCAGUGAAUCAUCGAAUCUUUGAACGCACCUUGCGCUCCUUGGUAUUCCGAGGAGCAUGCCUGUUUGAGUGUCAUUAAAUUCUCAAUCCCUUCUGGGUUUUAUUCUCAGCUGGGCUUGGAUAUGGGGGUUUUGCCGGCUUUGCAAAGGCAAAGUCAGCUCUCCUGAAAGACAUUAGCAAGACUCUUGUUGCAACCUUCUAUCUGGUGUGAUAAUUAUCUACAUCAUAGAUUGUGCAUGGUUGGUCUGGCUUCUAAUAGUCCAUUAAAUUGGACAAAACUCUGACAAUUUGACCUCAAAUCAGGUAGGACUACCCGC